rnacentral:rRNA from 1 species
AUGGUGUUCUGUUAUCACUGUCAGGAUGACUGCCCGUAUAUACAGGACCCUGACAACGGGAUCACAUGUUGUGGAAUGUGCGGGAAGGUUUUUGAUGAGCACAUUUUUGAGGUUGGGCCUACUUUUGUCAAGAACUCCUCGGGACAGAGCGAAAUGGCUGGAAAAAUAAUUGAAGGCGUUGGGAGUGGCUGUUCUAUAUCCCGUGAAAGAACUGAAGCAAAAGGGAGAGAUGAGAUUUGGCAGAUUGUCCAUGGUUUGCAUGUGAGCGGUGGAGAUGAUAUCAUUUGCACUGCUCAUAACUUUUAUAAACUAGCUCUUGAUAAUGACUUUACUAAGGGACGUCGAACAAGUCACGUUGCAGCCGCUUGUCUUUACAUUGCCUGCCGGCGAGGUGAAAAACCUUAUCUUCUUAUUGAUUUCUCAGACCAUUUGCAAAUAAGUGUUUAUGUCCUAGGUGGUGUUUUUCUGCAGCUUUGCCAGGUUUUGUUACUCGGAGAACACCCAAUUGUUCAAAAGCUUGUAGAUCCUAGCCUUUUCAUCCAUCGUUUUACUGAACGUUUACUGGGAAAAAGGGACAAUGCUGUCUCGGACACAGCUUUACGCAUUGUAGCUAGCAUGAAGCGAGACUGGAUGCAGACUGGGAGGAAGCCAAGUGGUUUAUGUGGUGCAGCAUUAUAUAUCGCGGCACUUUCUCACGGAUAUGAUUACACCAAGGCAGAUAUUGCUGCUGUUGUGCAUGUCUGUGAGGCAACGCUAUCUAAGCGCUUAGUAGAGUUUGAAAAUACAGAUUCUGGUAGCUUAACGAUUGAAGAUUUUUUGGCAAAGGCUGAUGAAGAGACGGUUCCAAAAUGUUCAGCCAAGUAUGGAGACGUCCUUUGUGAGCACAAGGGUGCUGAGCAUUUUUCUCAUGGACUUUGCGAGGAAUGCUACUACAAUUUCACUGAGCUGUCAGGUGGACUGGAGGGUGGUGCUGACCCUCCAGCUUUUCAGCGAGCUGAAAAAAAAAGACAUGCUGCUGCUAAAAGAGCUAAGGAUUCUUCUGUAGUCGACACAACAUUAUGUGAGUUACAUAGUUCUGAUGUUGAGCAUAACAUCAUGAGCCCUGGGAAGAACUGUGUAGGCAAAUCUUCGACAGGUUGUUCCAGUCAAACUGCAAAUGAUUUUGAAGCUCCCAUCGAUCCUGAAGUGGAAGGUGAAAAUGGUAAAGCUGAUUCUGAUCCUGAAAAUCUUUCUGAUAUUGAUGAUGUGGAGGUUGACGGGUAUCUUCACAACGAGGAAGAAACACAGAACAAAAAGAUUAUCUGGGAGGAAAUGAACAAAGAAUACCUAGAGGAACAAGCUGCAAAGGAAGCUUUAGCGGCUGAAUUGGCAGCGAAAGGUAUAUCUGUUGGAGAGGGACAACCGAAGAAACGGAAACGUAAGGAGGACAAGAACUCCACACCUGCUGAAACACCAGCAGAAGCAACAUGCAACAUGUUGAAACGGAAGGGACUUGGGUCAAAAAUCAAUGUUGAAGCUGUUAGUGGAUUGUACAAUACUGAAGAUGAAGUUGGCAAAGCAAAUGGCAAAGAUGACAUACACUUUGACGAGGAAUAUGAACAGGAUAUCGGUUAUGGUGAAACAUUUGAUGCUAGUUACGACUAUGGUCACGAUGCUGAUUACAACUAUGAAGGCUAUGUUGAUGAGGGUGGUGGCGGAGUUUAUGAUGAUUAUCAUGACACUGAUUACUAG